rnacentral:rRNA from 1 species
GGCAUGCCUUACACAUGCAAGGUCGAACGGGUAACAGGGACCGCAAGGUGCUGACGAGUGGCGAACGGGUGAGUAAUACAUCGGAACGUGCCCGAUCGUGGGGGGAUAACGUAGCGAAAGCUACGCUAAUACCGCAUACGAUCUACGGAUGAAAGCGGGGGAUCGCAAGACCUCGCGCGAUUGGAGCGGCCGAUAUCAGAUUAGGUAGUUGGUGAGGUAAAGGCUCACCAAGCCAACGAUCUGUAGCUGGUCUGAGAGGACGACCAGCCACACUGGAACUGAGACACGGUCCAGACUCCUACGGGAGGCAGCAGUGGGGAAUUUUGGACAAUGGACGCAAGUCUGAUCCAGCCAUUCCGCGUGCAGGAUGAAGGCCCUCGGGUUGUAAACUGCUUUUGUACGGAACGAAAAGGUUUGUCUUAAUACGAUGAGCUCAUGACGGUACCGUAAGAAUAAGCACCGGCUAACUACGUG